CUUUGUGGAGCUUUUCAUUGUGAGCCUAAAUCUUUGGAUAGAGGGACAGUCUGAAUGUUGGACACUGGCCUCUUCAAGUUCUAUCUACUUUUAUAAAGUGAGUAAGUAUUCUAAAGAUCUAAUUAUCUCCUUAAAAGUCUGAAGAUUUGAAUGCAUACAGGGGGAACACUUUUAUGAGAAAAGGCAGCAUUACUGACAAGCCUACCAAAUGCAGAUUAAUACAUGCUGUGCUCAUACUCUGAGCAUCGUCACGCCUCAAAAACAAUAGUCUAAAUUUCUUCACAGAUGACCACCACCUUUUAAAGUGAAUAGCACCAUAUGCAUACUAUGUCAGUCUAGCUUUGUUUCAGAACAAAGUAUCACAAAUAAAGCUCUUUAUUUUAAAUGCUUCUUGCUUAAAUUGCUUGAGCUCCCAAGAGAAGAAGAAAGGAGAUGUGACUGAGGGUCAGUUGCAAUAUGCAGAAGACAAAGUGCUGAGACAUUUUGGCUCCUUUAUUUAAUAGGUAAUAUCAACAUAUUUCUGACCUCACUACAGAUUUGGGAAAUUAGCUUAAGAAAAGAAAAAGCCAGCUGAAAAGUCACAGCUAAAAAGCAGUGACUAAGUUUUUAUGCAGUUAAUUAAAACAGACAUCGGCAUUUACAAUAUGUUUUAAAAUAAAAAUGUUCUGUUUUAAAUUUCUUCCAGAAGUAAAAGUCUGUAAGAACUAAAACAUCCAUCCAAUAUCAUGAUAUAAUCUGAAGUAAUCGUUCAUAAUAAAUAAUCCCUACAAAAAUACUAAAUGAAGUUAAAUUUUUUCUAAAUGAUUAUGUUGUAAAUGCUAUCAUCAGUAAUUAUUUUCUGUAGUGAACAGCUGUGACAACAAGGUCUAAUUAGCCUUACCGACAGGCUGGACAGUUCAAGAAUUUCCAUAUACUUCUAACAAGAAGCAUGAAUAUUUAAUCUCAGAGCAAAGAAAUCAUGUCACCUAUGACAUUAAAUCAUAAUUUGCCAGCUAAUCAAGUUAACUGUAAAUAAAAACCAAGGUGAGUUUUAAGUGAAACUUUCACUAUUUUGUCUUCUAUAAACAUUAGUAAGAACUUUAUUUACCAACUACAGCAAUAAUCUGUUUGAAAGCUUCCAUUACCCAAACCUGGUUUAAAACUCUGUCAGGUUCAGUGACUAUUUUCUCAGCACAUCACAUAGGCCUUACUAAUAAAAUACAGAUAACUAAGUUCAUGAAACAGUUAGGCUUUACUAGCAGAAGAAUCAGGCAAUAGAAAACAGUUCCGAGUAGAACAACAGAGGUAACCAUGUGGAUGUAUCCAACUGAAAAGCAAAAUCAAUUAUAUCAGGUUUUUUUUUGCCCUGUUUGACACUGUAGGUUCCAAACUAAAAGUACAACCAUUUGGAGUUUCCCUAAAUCAGUGAAUGGCAUCAGCGUAACUGUGGUCAGGACAGGAGGUGUGAACUGGGGGGUGAAGUCUCCCUCUCCUGGCACCCCUGUGGAGUCAGCAAAUAUUUGCUCCCCAAAAUUGGGCUGCAAACUAAAUUCAGACAUCGAUAUCAUCAUGUAACUAUGUCAGAAAACAUGAAAAAAGAGGGAGAGCAUAUAUACACAAAAAUCAGGGGUGGUUUUAACUCCAGUCAAUCAAGCCAAGUUUAACAGGCUGCUUAGAAUGUAAAAGUUCCAAGUGCACACAUUGUUUUGUAUGUUAUGCAUUUUUCUGCUUUUUUUCCCCAAAAGGAAGAAAAGAGAUAUGUUAACAGAAGUAUUAACUAAAAUCUAUAGCCAAAAAUCUGAGCACUAGAUGGAAACAAAAAGAAGCAUUAAUUAUUGAAUAUAGUCACUGGCAUUCUGAAAAAAAAAACCCUCCCAAAGCUUUUCAUCAGACUAUGAAGCUGUUUUAACAUAAAAUGUACAUCCAAAGUAUCCACGUGAAGUCUAAAGAAGCAUGAGUUAAUACUGACAGAUGCUCACAGUACAGAACUGUAGCCGCUCGGUAGUGGAAUGCUCUGCAAUCCAGGAGAGAAAACAAUCCCUGCAGAGCAGGGGAACCUGCCACAGAAGCUGAUACUGUCAUUAGGAACAGGAAAGAAGUCUUCUCGGUGUUCCUCUGGAGAAGGUAUCAACUCUGGAAGCUGGAGAAGCUGCAUGUUGCAUUUAUCAGCUGCUUUCUUCACUCCAGACCAAGCAGAGAUGAAUACAGAAUACUGAAGCAGAGUUCAAGUCCCCUGCACUACCAAGCCUCUGUCCAGAGAUGAGAAAAGAGUGGGGCAGAAGAAGAAGGAUGGGGAAUAAAAAAAUAAAUCUGAUGACUUCACUGGGCUCAAACCAUGUUUUCAUAAAUUCUCCUAUCCUAGCUCAGAUGUUAAGGUAUUUGCACAAUAGAACUUGCAUCUACACCUCCAGAAUCUGCAGUAUGCUGAUAUUUAGUAGAUGAGUGCUAUCAGAAAAAAAAAAAAGCAAACAAUCUUUCUCAGGCCCAGAUAAGUUUUAUACAAAGUGAGAUCCACUAGCCAAGUGACUAAAGCUCUACGUGUAAGUGUGAAAUGAGCUUUUAACCUAUCAUUUAACCUAUCAUUCAUCUAAAUGUACAGAGAAAUGAACCUGUCACUAAUUACAACGUUUGUCUCAAACAUUUUGAAGGUUUUGAAUUCUUCUUUAUACAGGAUGGGAGAGCUUUUGAAAACUCAUCACAUUACAAAAUAGUCUUACAUAGUGAAAUUUUGCAUAUACCCACUAUCUAUUUAGUGCGUCCAUAUUACUUUGCUCAUAUACACUGUUUUUCUUCAUUGUGCUGCAAAAAAAAUCUUGAUACAGAGGAAAAAGACAAGGAUGGAGACAACUGAAAACAGUCUAUUGUUGUUUGAUGCUGGGAACAUGGGAGGUUGAUUGCAAAGGAGAGGAGACAAAGGCAUCUUUGAGUACACCACACUAUUGGCAUUUCUAAAAUACUCAUGCAAUCUGAUAUUGAACGUAUAAAUUGCUUUUAAGUGUGAAAAAGUUUUAACUUUUAAGUGUGAAAGCCUCCUAAAGGGAAAUGCGAACUUUCUUCAGGAUGUUAUUUGACCAUAAAGGCAACAUAAGAUUGCAUUAUGGAAGAAAAAAAAAAAUUAAACAUCUUUUCUCUCUGGACUGCAAGCAGGACAAUAACUUCUCAGUUACAAACUCCACUCCAAGACCUUAUUCAACAUGUUUUCCAAGGAAAUUCUUCUUAUGCUGUAAUAUACAAAGGACCUUUCACAAGCUGCAUAAAACAGUUUAGCAGCAAAAAUACUAUGAAUAGCAAAACUACAGAUUGCUGAGGCUUGAGGGGCUGAAGCAGAAGCCAAAGAAUCUGGCUCCCUAGACAUAACACCUUCCUUCUGAGCUUGAUCUCAGUGAUCAGACCCUGCUUGAAGGAGGAGCACACAAAGCUUUAUUAAAACAUGACCUAACAAAACAAAACUACGACAGUAGUGCACAAACAAAUAAAAAGUUUGCUGAUAUGAAGGUAUGAAACUGUCUUAUGCAUCCAUCUUUUAUCGACUGAUGUGCAAAGAAACUGGCUUGCUCAUGAGAGAGCUUGGUAAUAAAAAACAUCCAUUUGAGACAGAAUAAAACAGGGUUGUCUACACACAGGAAUGUUUUGUCCCCAGUGAAGGAAUCAUCUCUAGGAACCAGAAGAAAACGAGAGCAGAGACUAAGAAUAUUAACAUACUAUGCAGAGAAAUGAGCAAAUCAGAAAUCCUCCCAGGCUGUAUUUUAAAAGGAAAUAUUUGUAAACAAACAAACAAACAAAAACGCUCUACAAAAAAAAAAAAAAACUCAAGAAACUGUACACCAGUCACAUAACCUAUUGUUUUUCAAAACAAUACCCAAGUAUCUCUUUAGUUCUGAUACAGCAAGGAAACUCAAACUUUACGUCUCUGAAAAGCCACUCCAGUCUCUAGACCUCCUUCUCCUCCCUAAAAGAGCAUUUUAUGUCAAGACAAAGUAACAAAGUUUCAAGCCUCAGGUGAAAAGAAUUUCAGUUCAGAUAAUACUGAUACAGUAAAAGAACAACAAAAGGGCAAAUAGCACAUUUUGUCUUUUGCCCACCCAGUAUCCAAAAAAGAAAUAGGUUCAUACUUACCUACUUUUGUUCUAUGCACGCUGUAAUGUACUACAAGUGUCUGUUUUAAAUAUUGUCAUGCAGGAAUUUUCUGGCCAACUUCCUGCCAAAGUAUUUUAGCAUUAUAUUUGAAUAGCUAAGAAGGUUUAUUAAGUACUAUUCGAAAUUAAUGUUGUUGAUCUCAUCAACCUGUUUUUUGAUUGUACAAAAAUAAAAACAAAGGCAAGUUGUCUGUUUCACGUUAUGC
rnacentral:lncRNA from 1 species